AUUGAACGCUGGCGGCAUGCUUUACACAUGCAAGUCGAACGGUAACAGGCCUUCGGGUGCUGACGAGUGGCGAACGGGUGAGUAAUGCAUCGGAACGUACCCAGAGGUGGGGGAUAACGCAGCGAAAGCUGCGCUAAUACCGCAUGUGAUCUGAGGAUGAAAGCGGGGGACCGCGCAGCAAUGUUUGGCCUCGCGCCUUUGGAGCGGCCGAUGUCGGAUUAGCUAGUUGGUGGGGUAAAGGCCUACCAAGGCGACGAUCCGUAGCUGGUCUGAGAGGACGACCAGCCACACUGGGAGUGAGACACGGCCCAGACUCCUACGGGAGGCAGCAGUGGGGAAUUUUGGACAAUGGGCGCAAGCCUGAUCCAGCAAUGCCGCGUGCGGGAAGAAGGCCUUCGGGUUGUAAACCGCUUUUGGCAGGAACGAAACGGUGUCCGCUAAUACCGGGCGCUAAUGACGGUACCUGCAGAAUAAGCACCGGCUAACUACGUG
rnacentral:rRNA from 1 species